UUGAAGAUCAAAGUAUCUGCUGGAAUUGGUCCUCUCUGGGGACUGGAAGGGAAGGAUUGGCUCCAGUUCUGACACACUGCAGGUUAGGACUUCAGCAUGAAUUUAUUCAAGGGACACAAGUCAGCUUGUAACACCGGCCAAGCCUCCACCCACAUUGCAGACUCAUGUGCAAAAUAAAUGUGCUGGUGUUUUGAGACACUAAAAUUUGAAGUGGUUUAUUUACACAACAAAAACACAACAAUAUGCCUAAGGUACU
rnacentral:lncRNA from 1 species